AAUGUCACCGCAAUGGUAAUUCAGCUUAGUACGAGAGGAACCGCUGAUUCAGAUAAUUGGUUUUGGCGGCUGUCUGACCAGGCAGUGCCGCGAAGCUACCAUCUGCUGGAUAAUGGCUGAACGCCUCUAAGUCAGAAUCCAUGCCAGAAAGCGGCGAGUACCUCCCACACAUCGUAGUCGGAUACGAAUAGGCCCCUAGGGCCCUGAAUCUUAGCAGGUUGGCAAUGGUGCUCGGGGAGAAAUCCCGGGUGCUAGCUGACGUCUUGCAAUUUACCAUGCGUGGGGAUAAAACCUUUGCAUACGACUUAGUUAUAUCAGACGGUGCUGUAAAUAGUAGAGUAGUCUUGUUAUUACGAUCUAUUGAGGCUAAGCCGCGCUGAUUUAGUUUU
rfam:Brassica rapa chromosome A6, whole genome shotgun sequence.